ACCAGACUCCUACGGGAGGCAGCAGUGGGGGAUAUUGCACAAUGGGGGAAACCCUGAUGCAGCGACGCCGCGUGGGUGAAGAAGUAUUUCGGUAUGUAAAGCCCUAUCAGCAGGGAAGAAAGAAGACGGUACCUGACUAAGAAGCCCCGGCUAACUACGUGCCAGCAGCCGCGGUAAUACGUAGGGGGCGAGCGUUAUCCGGAUUCACUGGGUGUAAAGGGAGCGUAGACGGCCGUGCAAGCCAGGAGUGAAAGCCCGGGGCCCAACCGCGGAACUGCUUUGGGAACUGUUUUGCUGGAGUAUGGGAGGGGUAAGCGGAAUUCCUGGUGUAGCGGUGAAAUGCGUAGAUAUCAGGAGGAACACCGGUGGCGAAGGCGGCUUACUGGACCAUAACUGACGUUGAGGCUCGAAAGCGUGGGGAGCGAACAGGAUUAGAUACCCUAGUA
rnacentral:rRNA from 1 species